rnacentral:misc_RNA from 1 species
AAGUCGUAACAAGGUCUCCGUUGGUGAACCAGCGGAGGGAUCAUUACCGAGUUUACAACUCCCAAACCCCAUGUGAACCUUAUACCUUACCGUUGCUUCGGCGGGCUCGGCCCCGGCAGCAGGCCCCGCCUGCCCGGAACAAGGCGCCCGCCGGGGGACCAAAACAAACUCUUUUGUAUCUUGCAAGCUUGUCUGAGUGGCAUGAAAAAAUGAAUCAAAACUUUCAACAACGGAUCUCUUGGUUCUG